CCUACGGGGGGCAGCAGUGAGGAAUAUUGGUCAAUGGCCGAGAGGCUGAACCAGCCAAGUCGCGUGAGGGAUGACAGCCCUACGGGUUGUAAACCUCUUUUGUCGGGGAGCAAGACCCGCCUCGUGCAGGCGGAGCGAGAGUACCCGAAGAAAAAGCAUCGGCUAACUCCGUGCCAGCAGCCGCGGUAAUACGUAGGGAGCGAGCGUUGUCCGGAUUUACUGGGUGUAAAGGGUGCGCAGGCGGCUCUGCAAGUCAGGCGUGAAAGCUAGGGGCUCAACCCCUAAACUGCGCUUGAAACUGUGGG
rnacentral:rRNA from 1 species